GCUAGUGAAGCUAAUAUUUCUGAAGCACUGGUCUUGUAAACCAGAUACAGGGCCCUGCCCCACUAGUA
rnacentral:tRNA from 1 species